rnacentral:rRNA from 1 species
UACGUAGGGACCGAGCGUUGUCCGGAAUUAUUGGGCGUAAAGAGCUCGUAGGCGGUCUGUCGCGUCUGCUGUGAAAACUCAGGGCUUAACCCUGAGCUUGCAGUGGGUACGGGCAGACUAGAGUGCGGUAGGGGAGACUGGAAUUCCUGGUGUAGCGGUGAAAUGCGCAGAUAUCAGGAGGAACACCGAUGGCGAAGGCAGGUCUCUGGGCCGAUACUGACGCUGGAGGAGCGAAAGCGUGGGGAGCGAACAGG